rnacentral:rRNA from 1 species
CAGCCGCGGUAAUACGGAGGGUGCAAGCGUUAUCCGGAUUUAUUGGGUUUAAAGGGUCCGUAGGCGGAUCUGUAAGUCAGUGGUGAAAUCUCACAGCUUAACUGUGAAACUGCCAUUGAUACUGCAGGUCUUGAGUAAGGUAGAAGUAGCUGGAAUAAGUAGUGUAGCGGUGAAAUGCAUAGAUAUUACUUAGAACACCAAUUGCGAAGGCAGGUUACUAUGUCUUAACUGACGCUGAUGGACGAAAGCGUGGGGAGCGAACAGGAUUAGAUACCCUGGUAGUCCACGCCGUAAACGAUGCUAACUCGUUUUUGGGCUUUAGGGUUCAGAGACUAAGCGAAAGUGAUAAGUUAGCCACCUGGGGAGUACGUUCGCAAGAAUGAAACUCAAAGGAAUUGACGGGGGCCCGCACAAGCGGUGGAUUAUGUGGUUUAAUUCGAUGAUACGCGAGGAACCUUACCAAGGCUUAAAUGGGAAUUGAUCGGUUUAGAAAUAGACCUUCCUUCGGGCAAUUUUCAAGGUGCUGCAUGGUUGUCGUCAGCUCGUGCCGUGAGGUGUUAGGUUAAGUCCUGCAACGAGCGCAACCCCUGUCACUAGUUGCUAGCAUUAAGUUGAGGACUCUAGUGAGACUGCCUACGCAAGUAGAGAGGAAGGUGGGGAUGACGUCAAAUCAUCACGGCCCUUACGCCUUGGGCCACACACGUAAUACAAUGGCCGGUACAGAGGGCAGCUACACAGCGAUGUGAUGCAAAUCUCGAAAGCCGGUCUCAGUUCGGAUUGGAGUCUGCAACUCGACUCUAUGAAGCUGGAAUCGCUAGUAAUCGCGCAUCAGCCAUGGCGCGGUGAAUACGUUCCCGGGCCUUGU